CCGGACACCUUCGCGGGCCGCACCGGACAACAAAGCGACCCGACCCCAUAAGCGA
rnacentral:ncRNA from 1 species